rnacentral:lncRNA from 1 species
UUGAAGAGAACCAAAAGCCGUGAAAUUAUCCUUGUUUCAUGAAGGAGAAAAACGUGCAAAAACUUGGCACUGGAGAACUAUAAUGCCAGGAACGGUGUCAACACUCGAAAACAUCUGCGAAUUCGAAUAACUUUCGAUUUCUUCGGGUAUAAUUUAAACUACUUAUUUGAGCCUUCAUGACAGAUUCUUAAGUUUUCUUGUUUGGUUUAAUAACUACAUAUCAGUCUAUCUAUAUACCAUAAAGAGGGACAAAUGCACAGGUUUUUAAUUUGGUGUAAAAUAUAAUGAGUAAAUUUUAUAAAUAGGUAGAAUUAACAGAUUAUUGACUGGUUGAAUUACCCAUCGAAUGGGUAAAUAUGAUUAGAUGAAGUUAGACUCAAACACGAACUCCUAGGAUUAAGUAUUCUAAAUUAGUUAUGAUUAGCCUAAAAAAUUUACAUGGGAUCGAUAUUAUGUAAUUAUAGAUUGAUUGGAGGAAGUUAUACGAAUUGCUUGAGGUGAAGCAUUUGGUAUUUUGGCACGAGUACUGUGAGUAGUAAUCUUACCACAAUUUGUAUUUUUCAUAACUUGCAUGAUUUACACAUGAUUUUUAAUAUGAAUAUGUUACCGAUUAUUUUGAGUUGCAUGUGGGACAAGUCUUUUACUCGAUAUGAUAUCGUUGUUUUAAAUAUUCUUGUUGUCACUAGAUAUGUUUUACCGUUACUUGAAUUUACUUUUAUCGAAAGGAAAUUACAUGAUUUGAUAAGAACCAAAAUACCCUAUAUUAUUUUAAAAUAUUUUUCUAUGAGUAUAUACGGAUUACAGAGAUAAGUAUAAAUGGGAGUAGGCUUUGAAGGAUUCCGUAGCUAAUGGCGGGUUCGUUAGCCCUGGUACACCUUGUAAUUACCGAUUACCGUCAUAACCCUCACUAGUGGGAAGGUAGAACUAGCAUACAGUUACCGAUUUUCCUCGAGUAGGGAGUACAUUUAUAUUUGACUUCUUGUAAAGAAGUCCACAGUUAUACCGAUUACAUGAUCCAUUCAUUGAAACCUCCCAAGUAUGAAUAUUGAUAUUUCACAGAAUUUACCGAGCUUAUUACCGAAUUGUCAAAUUGAAAUAUAUUACAUGAAAAACAUGAUGAGACUGAUUAUUGUUUAUUGUUUCUGAAAGGGCAUUCUUAUGAUAAUUUCUGUUUAAUAUAUAGACUAGCAUGUUUUCUGAAUCUUCCCCAACAAAAACGGUUGUGAUUAAGUGUUAUUACUCAUAGAGCUAGCGACUCAUUCUCCGCUAUUUUUUUCCAGAAACAACAGUUGACGCAGGCGAGGAUUUUAUUAAUUAGAGCGCACAUGUUGAUAUUUCUUGGUGAGCCUCGCACUUGUUCGCGUGGGCGGAGAUUUUAUUUUUUAUUUUGGUCCUUUUUUGGAACUCUUAGAGUCACUCCAUAGUCAUUCUUUUAGUGUCAUGAAUAUUCUUUUGUUAUUAUAGACUUAUGUUGAGUAUUGCUCUUUAUUAUCAAAGUUGGAGAUAAAUUAGUAUUCUUAGCUGUUAGUGGGUGAACUAUUAAUGGUGGAUAUUUGUUUUGGUUAAUUGGUAAAGUUAUUAUUGUUUGGAUUGAUAUUAGGAUGUUUGAUUGUUGAUUUGAGACAGAGAAAUUUUUG